UGGGGAAUUUUGGACAAUGGGCGAAAGCCUGAUCCAGCCAUGCCGCGUGAGUGAAGAAGGCCUUCGGGUUGUAAAGCUCUUUGGGGAGGGACGAACCGCUGCACGUUCAUAGCGUGCAGCAUGACGGUACCUCCUUAGCAAGCACCGGCUAACUCCGUGCCAGCAGCCGCGGUAAUACGGAGGGUGCAAGCGUUAUCCGGAUUCACUGGGUUUAAAGGGUGCGUAGGUGGGUUAGUAAGUCAGGGGUGAAAGACGGUGGCUCAACCAUCGCAGUGCCCUUGAUACUGAUGGGCUUGAAUGGACUAGAGGUAGGCGGAAUGUGACAAGUAGCGGUGAAAUGCAUAGAUAUGACAUAGAACACCAAUUGCGAAGGCAGCUGGCUACACAUAUAUUGACACUGAGGCACGAAAGCGUGGGGAUCAAACA
rnacentral:rRNA from 1 species